AUUGAACGCUGGCGGAAUGCUUUACACAUGCAAGUCGAACGGCAGCACGGACUUCGGUCUGGUGGCGAGUGGCGAACGGGUGAGUAAUACAUCGGAACGUGCCCAGUCGUGGGGGAUAACGUAGCGAAAGCUACGCUAAUACCGCAUACGAUCUACGGAUGAAAGCGGGGGAUCGCAAGACCUCGCGCGAUUGGAGCGGCCGAUGGCAGAUUAGGUAGUUGGUGGGGUAAAGGCUCACCAAGCCGACGAUCUGUAGCUGGUCUGAGAGGACGACCAGCCACACUGGGACGGAGACACGGCCCAGACUCCGACGGGAGGCAGCAGUGGGGAAUUUUGGACAAUGGGCGCAAGCCUGAUCCAGCCAUUCCGCGUGCAGGAUGAAGGCCCUCGGGUUGUAAACUGCUUUUGUACGGAACGAAAAGGCUCUGGUUAAUACCCGGGGCUCAUGACGGUACCGUAAGAAUAAGCACCGGCUAACUACGUGCCAGCAGCCGCCGUAA
rnacentral:rRNA from 1 species